UCAACCGGCGAACGGGUGCGUAACACGUGAGCGACCUGCCUCCGCGCGGGGGAUAGCCGGCCCAACGGCCGGGUAAUACCGCAUACGCUCCGGUCGGGGCAUCCCGACUUGAGGAAACUUCCGGGGCGCGGAGAGGGGCUCGCGGCCUAUCAGCUAGUUGGCGGGGUAACGGCCCACCAAGGCGGUGACGGGUAGCUGGUCUGAGAGGAUGGCCAGCCACAUUGGGACUGAGAGACGGCCCAG
rnacentral:rRNA from 1 species